GACGAACGCUGGCGGCGUGCUUAACACAUGCAAGUCGAACGGAAAGGCCCUGCUUUUGUGGGGUGCUCGAGUGGCGAACGGGUGAGUAACACGUGAGUAACCUGCCCUUGACUUUGGGAUAACUUCAGGAAACUGGGGCUAAUACCGGAUAGGAGCUCCUGCUGCAUGGUGGGGGUUGGAAAGUUUCGGCGGUUGGGGAUGGACUCGCGGCUUAUCAGCUUGUUGGUGGGGUAGUGGCUUACCAAGGCUUUGACGGGUAGCCGGCCUGAGAGGGUGACCGGCCACAUUGGGACUGAGGUACGGCCCAGACUCCUACGGGAGGCAGAAGUGGGGAAUAUUGCACAAUGGGCGGAAGCCUGAUGCAGCAACGCCGCGUGCGGGAUGACGGCCUUCGGGUUGUAAACCGCUUUCGCCUGUGACGAAGCGUGAGUGACGGUAAUGGGUAAAGAAGCACAGGCUAACUACGUG
rnacentral:rRNA from 1 species